AGUGAACGCUGGCGGUAGGCCUAACACAUGCAAGUCGAACGGUAGCACAGUAAGAGCUUGCUCUUACGGGUGGCGAGUGGCGGACGGGUGAGGAAUACAUCGGAAUCUACUUUUUCGUGGGGGAUAACGUAGGGAAACUUACGCUAAUACCGCAUACGACCUACGGGUGAAAGCAGGGGAUCUUCGGACCUUGCGCGAUUGAAUGAGCCGAUGUCGGAUUAGCUAGUUGGCGGGGUAAAGGCCCACCAAGGCGACGAUCCGUAGCUGGUCUGAGAGGAUGAUCAGCCACACUGGAACUGAGACACGGUCCAGACUCCUACGGGAGGCAGCAGUGGGGAAUAUUGGACAAUGGGCGAAAGCCUGAUCCAGCCAUACCGCGUGGGUGAAGAAGGCCUUCGGGUUGUAAAGCCCUUUUGUUGGGAAAGAAGAGCAGCAAGUUAAUACCCCGCUGUUCUGACGGUACCCAAAGAAUAAGCACCGGCUAACUUCGUG
rnacentral:rRNA from 1 species